rnacentral:rRNA from 1 species
CCUACGGGAGGCAGCAGUGGGGAAUAUUGGGCAAUGGGCGCAAGCCUGACCCAGCAACGCCGCGUGAAGGAAGAAGGCUUUCGGGUUGUAAACUUCUUUUUAGAGGGAAGUGAAGAAGACGAUACCUCUUGAAUAAGCCACGGCUAACUACGUGCCAGCAGCCGCGGUAAUACGUAGGUGGCGAGCGUUGUCCGGAUUUACUGGGUGUACAGGGCGUGCAGCCGGGCUGACAAGUCAGAUGUGAAAUCCCGUGGCUCAACCACGGAACUGCAUUUGAAACUGUCGGUCUUGAGUAUCGGAGAGGCAGGCGGAAUUCGUAGUGUAGCGGUGAAAUGCGUAGAUAUUAGGAGGAACACCGGUUGCGAAGGCGGCCUGCUGGACGGCAACUGACGGUGAGGCGCGAAAGCGUGGGGAGCAAACAGGAUUAGAUACCCUGGUAGUC